rnacentral:rRNA from 1 species
UACGUAGGUGGCAAGCGUUGUCCGGAUUUACUGGGCGUAAAGAGCGCGCAGGCGGUCGUUCAAGUCGCGUGUGAAAGCCCCCCGGCUCAACUGGGGAGGGUCACGCGAUACUGAUCGACUGGAAGGCAGGAGAGGGUAGUGGAAUUCCCGGUGUAGUGGUGAAAUGCGUAGAUAUCGGGAGGAACACCAGUGGCGAAGGCGGCGAUCUGGGUCGAUACUGACGCUGAGGUGCGAAAGCAUGGGGAGCGAACAGG